GACGAACGCUGGCGGCGUGCUUAACACAUGCAAGUCGAACGGAAAGGCCCUGCUUUUGUUGGGUGCUCGAUUGGCGAACGGGUGAGUAACACGUGAGUAACCUGCCCUUGACUUUGGGAUAACUUCAGGAAACUCGGGCUAAUAUCGGAUAUGAUCUCCUGCUGCAUGGUGGGGGUUGGAGAGUUUCGGCGGUUGGGGAUCGACUCGCGGCUUAUCAGCUUGAUUGUGUGGUAGUGGCUUACCAAGGCUUUGACGGGUAGCCGGCAUGAGAGGGUGACCGGCCACCUUGGGCCUGAGAUACGGACCAGAAGCCUACCGGCGGCAGUAGUCGGGAAUAUUGCACAAUGGGCGGAAGUCUGAUGCAGCAACACCGCGUGCGGGAUGCCCGCCUUCGGGUUGUAAACCGAUUUCGAAUGUGACGAAGAGUGAGUGACGGUAAUGGGUAAAGAAGCAACGGCUAACUACGUG
rnacentral:rRNA from 1 species